rnacentral:rRNA from 1 species
GACGAACCGUGCGAACGUUGUUCGGAAUCACUGGGCUUAAAGGGCGCGUAGGCGGGCUGCCAAGUCCGGGGUGAAAUCCCACGGCUCAACCGUGGAACUGCCCUGGAUACUGGCGGUCUCGAGGGAGGUAGGGGCUUGCGGAACUAUGCGUGGAGCGGCGAAAUGCAUUGAUAUGCAUAGGAACUCCGGUGGCGAAGGCGGCAAGCUGGACCUCAUCUGACGCUGAGGCGCGAAAGCCAGGGGAGCGAACGGGAUUAGAUACCCCGGUAGUCCUGGCCCUAAACGUUGAGAACUAGGUAGUAGGCUAGACAUGGGCUUACUGCCGGAGCGAAAGUGCUAAGUUCUCCGCCUGGGGAGUAUGGUCGCAAGGCUGAA